UGGGGCGUAGCCAAGUCGGUAAGGCAUCAGACUUUGACUCUGACAUGCGUAGGUUCGAGUCCUGCCGCCCCAG
rnacentral:tRNA from 1 species